rnacentral:rRNA from 1 species
GAUGAACGCUGGCGGCGUGCUUAACACAUGCAAGUCGAACGUGAGAAUAGCAAUAUUUGAAAGUGGCAAACGGGUGAGUAACACGUGGGAACCUGCCUCGAAGUGGGGGAUAACGAUUGGAAACGGUCGCUAAUACCGCACGGUUCUGCUCUGAUGGGAAUGGAGCAGAUAAAGAUUUAUCGCUUUGAGAGGGGCCCGCGGCCGAUUAGCUAGUUGGUAAGGUAAAGGCUUACCAAGGCGAUUAUCGGUAGCUGGUCUGAGAGGACGAUCAGCCACACGGGAACUGAGACACGGUCCCGACUCCUACGGGGGGCAGCAGUGAGGAAUAUUGGGCAAUGGGCGAAAGCCUGACCCAGCAACGCCGCGUGGAGGAUGAAGGCUUUAGGGUUGUAAACUCCUUUUGUGGGGGAAAAGAAUGGAUGGUACCCCAAGAAUAAGUCACGGCUAACU